UGUAAAACAGUUCAUAUCAAACUUACCAUAGCUGCCCAGGUUCAUGGAACUCAUCUGAUUGGUGAGCUGUUGAGCUUGAGGGGGGGCCGCAGGGGCCAUGUUGUUGUACUGGGACUGUAAAGGCUGUCCAUAAGAAGCAGAAACAGCCGGUGGAGGGUAUCUGAGGAAAACAGGGCAAUUCUUGCACCUGCACGAUCUCUUCAUAUUCGAGAGCCAUGCAGUUGCGGUUUAAGGAAGAUUCUCACCUUUGCGGAUGUGCGCCGUUCUGCUGGACAUUUGGAUUGUACUGACUGGGCGCUGCAGGUGGGGGCACCCCAGCUGCAGAGGAGACUGGUGACUUCAUCAUACCUGCACACUAACAGGUUUGAAAAGAUACACCAACAACGACUGAUAUUUGACCUCGUGCAAUCAUCAACACUCGUGUAACAUGGACCUUUGGCAUUGCUUACUGAGAGAGAUAAAGGAAGGCCUAUCCUUACAAGAAUUAUCUUCAAGGAACUACAUGACUUUCUGUUUGCCUGUCAGAGCGACGAUCCAAUCUCAUCUGCCCGAUUCCUUUAAUGUAAAUACCAU